GUGGGGAAUCUUGCGCAAUGGGCGAAAGCCUGACGCAGCCAUGCCGCGUGAAUGAUGAAGGUCUUAGGAUUGUAAAAUUCUUUCACCGGGGACGAUAAUGACGGUACCCGGAGAAGAAGCCCCGGCUAACUUCGUGCCAGCAGCCGCGGUAAUACGAAGGGGGCUAGCGUUGCUCGGAAUUACUGGGCGUAAAGGGCGCGUAGGCGGACAGUUUAGUCAGAGGUGAAAGCCCAGGGCUCAACCUUGGAAUUGCCUUUGAUACUGGCUGUCUUGAGUACGGGAGAGGUGAGUGGAACUCCGAGUGUAGAGGUGAAAUUCGUAGAUAUUCGGAAGAACACCAGUGGCGAAGGCGACUCACUGGCCGGUUACUGACGCUGAGGCGCGAAAGCGUGGGGAGCAAACAGGAUUAGAAACCCGGGUAGUCC
rnacentral:rRNA from 1 species